ensembl:piRNA 21ur-15573 ncRNA
GUACUAUAAGGGUUAGAGCGG